GGGGGGUGAGACAAGAACGAAGCAACGUCAGCAGUAGCUGGAACAGUAUUAAUCCAGACACCACGCUCGCUACAUCUCUCCAGCCACCACGCCACCACCGACCCCUCGAGUGUACGCAGCCCAGUGUCCGUCUGUGUCUUGUCGUGGGCGUGACGUUCAGCAGCGGCAGGAACAGCAACGGGAAGCUUGAUCUACGUGGGUCUUCGUGCGGCGAGGUGACGUGCCGCUGCUGUGAGAUUAUCGGACCACACACACCACAGCACAGCACAGGAGGAGAGGCGUUGACGAUCCAAAGGCCUGACUCCACAGCGGUAAUGAGCCUCGUCUACCUUGCACUUAACGGACAAUGCUCACUACCAACACCUCUGCCUCCCCCACCGCCACUGCCGCCGUUGAGGGAGACUGGCUGGAUGAGUGGGUGAUAGAGGCGAGGCAGGUGUGGUGAGGCGGAGGAUUGGAGACGAGAACCUACAGAUGACGGCAGACACGGAAGAUUCCACUUACCAGGAGUUGGUGAUCCGAAGCCGUGACUGCAGCGAUCCCGUGCGGCCUGCACCAUCAGGGAAGGACUCUCUCUGGCUUCGCACUGCGCCUACAUUGACCGUUGCCGCCGCUGCUACCGCUACUCGGAGGGGCACUGCCUCGCAUUGGUCCUUCACUGCCGUCCCGCUAAUACACGUGUCGCCGUCGCAGCUACUGGCACUGAGGGACUUCGCCUCGCAGCGGCCUGGCAAACACCUGCUACACCACCACCACUAACUCCACCACCGCAGUCCAGAGAUUCAGCUUCGCAUAGCAGACAUCCUCCUAUUCAACGCUUGCUGCCACUACCACCUCAUUAUGGUGGUGUCACUGUACUUGGAUCUGUUGUCACUACUGAAUAAUAAUGUGUAAAGAAA